AUUGAACGCUGGCGGCAGGCCUAACACAUGCAAGUCGAGCGGAUGAGGGGAGCUUGCUUCCUGAUUUAGCGGCGGACGGGUGAGUAAUGCGUAGGAAGCUGCCCGAUAGAGGGGGAUACCAGUUGGAAACGACUGUUAAUACCGCAUAAUGUCUACGGACCAAAGUGUGGGACCUUCGGGCCACAUGCUAUCGGAUGCGCCUACGUGGGAUUAGCUAGUUGGUGAGGUAAUGGCUCACCAAGGCGACGAUCUCUAGCUGGUUUGAGAGGAUGAUCAGCCACACUGGAACUGAGACACGGUCCAGACUCCUACGGGAGGCAGCAGUGGGGAAUAUUGGAAAAUGGGCGCAAGCCUGAUCCAGCCAUGCCGCGUGUGUGAAGAAGGCCUUCGGGUUGUAAAGCACUUUCAGCGAGGAGGAAGGGUGGUGUGUUAAUAGCACAUCAUUUUGACGCUACUCGCAGAAGAAGCACCGGCUAACUCUGUGCCAGCCGCCGCCGUAACAC
rnacentral:rRNA from 1 species